GCUACCCUGCCGUGCGCGUGAUCCGCACAUCGGUUUUGAGCCAACACCCAAACCCGGGGUAUCCAGGUCAAGGCACAGACGCAUUAGGAUCCGUCCAAAGCCGAUGUGCCUGCCGGAUACCCACCUGCGAAAGCAGGUUCAAAACGUAGCGGCACACGGCAUGGCGGGAGUCAU
rnacentral:other from 1 species